GCACGUACGAGCGAGGCCGCCCGCCCUCGAGCGAGAACCACUCGCACGCACGACUCGCUCAGCAAAUCGUGCGCCGCCGCCCUCCAUCCUUCGCCACCGCCGAUCCAUCCCUUCGCCGCCGCCGCUCCAUCCCUUCGCCGCCGACCUCGCACAUCAAAGCCGCCGCCGCUCCAUCCCUUCGCCGCCGCCGCUCCAUCCCUUCGCCGCCGCCCUCGCACAUCGAAGCCGCCGCCCACGAUCCACUUCAGGAGACGCCGUCGAUCCCGUUGAGGACCUGCUGCCCAUCAUGUCGAGGAUCCGAAGACGAUCCCCUUUAGGAGCCUUGCCGAUCCUUCUCCACACGCCACCGCCUCCCUUGCGAAGACGCCUUGCCAUGGAUCUCAAUCGGCGUUACGACGGCCGUGGCCUCCCCACCCGCCGACGUUCCAGAUCCGGCCAUCGUUGACCCCCUCCACAUCAGUGAUUGGUCAAGGUAGGGGUGUGUGGCUCUAUCCAUCUUCCUGCGUGUACGGCGUCUGUGUAUCCCGGCAAGGGUGCUUGUGAGAUCGGGAGGCGAUCAAAAGGAGGAAGAGGAGAUCCAUGGUUGGGGAUACAUUCAACGACCUAGGCAUCAUCCUCCCUGACGUCGUACUCGAAGCCCGCAGCCAUUGCCUUCUCAAUCUACGUUAGUCAGCAGCAGCAAGCAGAGAAUUAACAACAGUAGACCAAAGCAAAGGGGGGUCAGCCUGAAUGGGACGUAUCCCCUUCCAGAGGACUCGCCCUAGCUAGCCUGCAUGGUACCUUUCAUUAGCACUUCUCCCACAUUGUACGUGUUGUUCUCUGCAUGAUGUGUGGUGGAUGGGGAUGCGGAGGCGACGACUGGCGGCUGUUCUAUUUACACCUGACAUGGUUGAGAGGCUAGGGAGCAGGCGAUUUUGCACUCGUAUUUGGUCGGCAAUGGAGAUGAAUUUGUGAGAGAUGUGGCUGGGAGUUGCACCGGUCAUUUUUCUGCCCUCUCUAUGUUAUCCCUUUGCACUAAUCGGUAAUUGCUUUUUGACCAGGGGAUAGGGUAGCGUACACGAACAGCAAAAUUGUAGAAGACGAGGAGGACAAUCUGAGUGACCAACAUUAUGUGGAGUAUUGAGAUGCAGAUCCAUCUUCACCGACAGCACGCGCUUGUCUGUGACCUCCCACCAGCAGCGCCUUGAGGUCACCCACACAAGCGACCAAGCAAUUCCACGCUGUCACCCUCUGCUACUUCGCCAACGACAUCGAGGAGGUCGUGGGUGAGAGCUACUGUCCUCCCUGGAGAACAUGCUCGUGCCCCAUGCGUACGAAGAAGAGCUAAGACACUCGCAUGGGUGCUCAAGGAAAUAAACCAGAUUGAGCGAGCUUUAAUGUGACAGAGGAUCAUGGUGGUCGAUGGAUUGUGCACCCGGUAGUAGACUAAGAAAGGAACAUUAUUUAUGGAACACAAUGAUAUUCAGAGCAGCCCUGCACUAUGUGAGAUUUAGAAGUUGGUACUGCCGGCGGAUGCAUCCAUGUGCUAAUCUCCUGGCACCGCGUAGACGGAGCCAAACGAGUUGGGGCCUCCAGCCGGCUGGUAGUGGACAACAACACCGGGUUUGUUAAUUACUCAACAAGUCACAGAUUGAUCUCUUUUUUGAUUGGUUUGGUGUGGAUUAUCAGGCCUGCCGCGCAAUCAUAGAUUUAUCUUUUGAUUUAUGUGGGUGGACAGAAACACCUUUUCUAAAGUUUUCUAGGGAUUGUAAUGAAGCACAGUAACACACUCCAGCAUUCAUUCUUUGCUUGAUAUUAGCAAACAAUGUAAAAUAACCAAGCUCACAACAUUCUAAAGCGGUCUAUUAGCUACUUCAGCAGACAACAGACAGAAAGAAGUAAGCAGUAUUUGAUUUGCUCAUACCCGUGGAGGGAUCGAAUUCUGCCCAAAGUUUGUCGCAACACUUGUGGUCAGCGGCGAGGAUGAGCACCCACACCCGCUCCUUGUUGGUGGCCUCUGCAUCCUCCUCCCUCGAAGUGGGUCUAUGCGGGGAGUUGAUCUAGAAUAUCCUAUUGUUAGAUAUAACAAAUAGGUGACAAGAAAUAAACAAGAACUAUGUGGUACAAUAUAUGUGUCACACAGUAUACUUUGAAAAUGUGUAAUUUGAGAUUCUGAUAUAGAUGUAGGCCUGUAACACACCUUGAACAUGCACUAAAAAUUGUUGUUUACAGUCUGAUUUCUAAACCUGAUGAAAACCCC
rnacentral:rRNA from 1 species